GUUUUGCGUGAGGGAUUGCAGUGGAAAUCCUUUUUUGUUUUUUCUUUAAAAACAAAAAAGAUUGCAACGAAAAGCCCGACCCGUA
rnacentral:sRNA from 1 species